UACAUGGGGUGCAAACGUUGCUCGGAAUUAUUGGGCGUAAAGCGCGCGUAGGCGGUUACUCAAGUCGGAUGUGAAAGCCCUCGGCUUAACUGAGGAAGUGCACCCGAAACUGAGUAGCUAGAGUACUAAAGAGGGUCGCGGAAUUCCCGGUGUAGAGGUGAAAUUCGUAGAUAUUAGGAAGAACACCAGUGGCGAAGGCGGCUCACUGGCCCGGUACUGACGCUGAGGCGCGAAAGCGUGGGGAGCAAACAGG
rnacentral:rRNA from 1 species